UGCUAAUACCGCAUAAGCCCACGGGUCGGCNUCGACCAGAGGGAAAAGGAGCAAUCCGCUUUGAGAUGGCCUCGCGUCCGAUUAGCUAGUUGGUGAGGUAAUGGCCCACCAAGGCAACGAUCGGUAGCCAGACUGAGAGGUUGAACGGCCACAUUGGGACUGAGACACGGCCCAGACUCCUACGGGAGGCAGCAUG
rnacentral:rRNA from 1 species